UGCCUGAUGCCACGUCCUCGGUAGCUAUUUAUUUGCAGUGACUAUGGAUGCUAUGAUUGGGCAAAUAUCAAUUUCUUCACAUUUCUGAUAGGAAACCAAGGGUAUGAUAUUCAAUUGCUUAUUGGUGCCAUUAUUGUGAUUACAUUG